rnacentral:lncRNA from 1 species
UAUGCCCAUCUCUUCACAAUUGUCCUGACACAAAUUCAAGAACCACUCCAAAUCAAGUCCCUUUAAGAAUUCCACUGAACAUGGUCAUAUCAUCCUGAUCAAGUUUCCAUCACUUUGUUGCUGGAUUGGCACGAUUUCUGUGCUUCUUCUAAUGUUUUCAUUCCCCACCAUGCCCUUUGUCUAGAUGAUAUAUUAAUAUACUUGUGCACUAGGGCUUUCUUUAUUGUCCACAUUUUGAAAGACAUAUCGUUACAAGUCAUAGAGUCAUUGUAUAAAGUGCUAGGUCUCAAAGGCAUUUGUCAAUCACAUAAGAACUUGAUGCCAGCCCAUUUUAUCAAUCUCUCCAUGCUGCCAUAUACCAAUUUCAUGUUCAAGCUUAUCCACAGCCAGCAAAUUGCUUGCACACAAAGGCUCUACUUGAUAUGGAUAUCAAUAAUUUGUUCGUCAAUGACAGCUACACUUGCGUAUCGAGCAGGCCGGUUUCAGCCCCAUAUAUAACCAAAAUUAGCCAAGCCCGACCAGGCUUGGGCUUUAGGCUUACUUUCCCGGUCCGAGCCUGGUAGCUUUGGACAUCGAAUUGGGCCUCACACUUUU